GACCUAAUAUCCACUAUAAAAGCUUUUUACUUUAGAGAAAUUCUCUCAUAAAAUGCCGUUUCUUGUCGCGAGUAGAUUGCAGAAUCAAGAAAUUCGAGAUCAGAUAUACGGAAACGAAGAGCUCUGGAAAAUGGGUGCCAUUUAUUAUCUGGACACCAUUUUAGCUCCUAUUCAUGCAUAUCUUUGGCAUAACUUGAAGCACAAACCAGCCAUAACUUCCAUUGGUAUGUAACUCAUUAAAAGGAAGGGCUUGGUUGAAAGAACUGAAUCAGGGAGAUGAUAAAAAGGGCGUAAAUGUUAGCAGUCCAAAGCUUAAGAAACAAUCACGAGUCUUACUAACUAAAUCACGUACUGAACAAUCAUGGUUUUCUUGAAUAGAUAAAUUGUAUAAUGAAUAAGAUUGAGUGUAAUACGAAUAUUGUUUAUUGUAAUGUUCAAUCUUAUUGUAAAUUGUGUACAUGUUAAGCAUGCCCUCAUGUUUGAGUGUUUUAAAGAAACAUAGGUUCAUUUUCAUAAAUUUA